AUGGGCUUUGAAGCCGCAGUGCUGCCGGUUAAGAUGGCGGCCAUUUACCUGAGGCGCUUGCCCUCGGUCAACAUGGCUGCCGCUCCCCUGCUGCUUCCGACGUCAGUGAAGCCGCUUUGCCGUCAGUCAAGAUGGCGGCCUCCAGCGAGCGGCGCGGCGGCUGUGGUGAGGGGACGGGGCGCGGGGCUGUGCUGGCGGCAGAGACCGAGCGAGCAGCCGGGAGAGGCGAGGCGAGGCGAGGGGAGAUGAGGGGAGGGAGAAGGAAGGCUCCGGCAGCUCGGCCGCUUGUGUGGGGCUGGGCGCCGGCCGUGGAAUGGCGUGUCGGGGCCUGGCUGGGGCGCCUCCGUUGGUUCCGCGGGGAGGGAGCCUGCGGGCUGCGGUGUCCGGGGGAAGCGGCGCGGCCGGGCGCGGGAUGGCUCUGCUGGCGCUCGGUCCCCAAGAGCCAUUGAUGCCGCUGCAGGAAACGGCACUUGUUUCUUAUUGCCGUAGUAAGGAAAGAAACGACUGCCUUAAGUUGCGCCUGUAAACCUCGGAAGUUGCUUUAUGAGCGAUGAUCUGCCCGGCUUGUCUUGACAGAUGCACCCCGGUGGUAAACAGCAUCGAGUUUCCAUGUGGAAACCAAUGUACAGGUUGAACAACCAGCUCCCUACACGACCUCUUCGGAAAUCACAUUCUCUGACUGUACUUCUACUCUGACGCUGGGCCGGGGGGGCUUCUGAGAGUACCUUUUUAACCACAUAAACAGAGGUCAUACUCAUCACUGCUGGUAUGUCCUGGGUACAAGCUGCGAUCAGCCGAUCCAGUGAGGAUAUAUUUGAUGAAGAUGCAGAUGAGAUGUGUCUGCUACAGAAAGAAUGGAACAGCACCAUGAAAAAAAGAUUGAAGGAAGGCUAUAGGGAUGGAAUUGAGGCUGGGAAAGAACUUGCGCUCCAGGAAGGCUUUAAUCAAGGUUACAGACACGGUGCUGAGCUGAUGGUUACAUGUGGCCAGUUCAGAGGAACCCUGACUGCUCUCUUAUCCUGGUGUCAUUUUAAUGGACAUGAUUCUGCCUUAAGUAAGAUAAAUAGUCUUCUUGAUGCAGUUGGAAAGCACGAAGAGGAUGUGCUUAAGUACCUGAACUCUGUUGAACAACAGCCACAUCUUGGACACAUUCUAGAUUCCGUUCAGGACAUGGACCUUAAUCACACAGCUCCAGCUGGAACAGAAUACAAUGAAAUUGAAGCUGGAAAACAUGCAGACGGUGGCAGCUCUGGUGAAAACACUUGUAGAAGUAAUGGUGAGGUUGGUUCCUCUCAGUCUGAAUGCAGCAAGGCAAAACUCUGCACAGAUCCUGAAAGAUCAACCCUUGCUUGGGUUAAAAAGCAGACUGUUUGGCUAGUAGAGCAACUGGGCUUAUCACUGGAUAUACUCCAUCAUGUCCAGCAUCUGGAACAUUAGUUUUUCUGUCUCAUGGUAUUUCAAAUUAUCUCAACUGCAUUUGACUCUCAGUUUGUGGGCUGGUGCAUCACUUCAUUUUAGGGAAAUCUGAUUUUGGUACUUCCCAUUAGAGAUAAUUUUGCAAAACUUCACCACAUUUUGGCUUCUGACAAAUAACCCCCCCUUGCUUUUAAUCUUAAAUAAACUUUCACAGAAAGCAGAAAGGACUUGUAAAGCUUUACAUGUUUCUAUUCUGUGUCAGAAUGUCAGAAGCUAUCAUUUCACCCCUACUUUCUCAUUUGGAAAUGGAGCAGGUCCCUUAAAUAGCCCCUCUAAAUCAGUCCUCUCUCAUAUCUAAAAAAUCAAUGCCCUGUGCUAUGGACAGCUGUUCUUGCAGAAUAAGCUGCUGUUGACAAUGUGCUAACUCUGUGCAAAAUAGAGCAGGAUUUGCUGCUGAUGUGAGUGUUGUGACUCUCUAGUCACUAUAUAAAAUACAGGAACUUUUCAACCUUAGUCAAAUUCUUCCUCUUAUCUUUUGUAACCACUGGGCAAUGCACUUUCACAGUUAAAAACUACUUUUUCCUCUUCAUACAGUUCUAUUUAUUUCACUUCUGCUGAAAACACACCAUUGUCUUCAGAUGCAGAAUAACUGACAAUUCCAUUGUUUUGCUGUUAGACCAUCUCCUCUCACCCUCUUAGACCACACUGAACACAUUUCCAGUCUAGUGAACUUCCUUGUGUUAUUUUGCCAGUCCUUCUAGCCUGAACUCUCUUUCCCUCAUUCCCAGAGUGUUUUUCCCAAACUCUUCAAGGAAGCCAGCCUUAUUCGCCUUCUUUUUAAAACACGUUGUCAGCCACAUAUGCAUAUUUCUGACAGCUUUGUAUUUCUGUGCCAGCAUUCUAUAUUUGACUCCUUUUCCUGCUGCUUCCCUUAACUGUAGCUGCAAAUUGCUCUGGUCUGGAAGUCUCUUCUUUGUGAAUUUCUAUCUCUGUUUUACACUAAUUAAACUGAUCUACAGUAAGUUAGGAGUUGACUUGUUUUAAGUUGCUUGUGACUUUCCUGCAUGUCUGAGACAAAGCAGGUGUAGACAGAGACAAACUGAAAUUCUGAAGAGCCAACUGAAGUAUGCUUAAAAAAAAUGAAGUAAAAUCACAAAACAGUUUUAUACUUUGAGACCAAAAAAAAGCUAAGGUAAAAAUUACUUCACUUUCAGAGACUGGGUUUACAACUUCCUUACUAAAGACUCUAUUCUCUAUUAUCCUGCCACGGAGUUGGUGGACUGUAAAUUUGGUUGUCAUUCGGUACCAGUUCUGCAUUAGGGGAAAACAGAACUGCAAUUAGGAGGCUGUCUGCAUUAAUUACGUACGUGCAAAACUCUUCAAACCGUUUUCUCAAUUUAUUUAGCAUAAUGCUGACGUGGAUAAAAUUACUUUUCCAGAGGUGCAUGUGUCAUGUUAUAGCCUGUAUCAGAUAUGUUAGAAAGAAAUUUCUUCCAUAGUGUGGUAGAAUAUGGUGCAGACAAAAAUAAAGGUUACUAGAGCAGCGUUAGACUUUCCAAAUUCAGAGGUUUAAAAAUGCAAAUGCAAGAGCGUUACUUGUGUGUAUUUAACAGUAUGCAAAGAAGAAACCCCAUUCACAAAUUACUAAGUAGACAGUGAGCUUGCCAAGUUUUCUUCAACUACUUCUGCAAAAGCAAUCUACAGAAGGGAAAAUACUUCUUUCUUGUUUGAUUAUCAAACAAUAGAUUGUGUGUUUUUCUUAUCUAUCAUAACAGCUUCUGUACUAGCUGUGGAAUUACUUUCCUCCGCUCCACAGAAAGCUUCUGUACUUACUGUGGGAUUACUUUUUUCUGUGUUAUCACCCAGAGUUUCCAGUUUGGCUGUGGAGAGGUUUUCUUUUGGGCUGUCUGUAAUACUUGGCUUAUAUGUCACUACCAAAUCUUGCUGACCAGCCACAGGAAGGCUGUCUUCGGGACUAUUAGAAUGUGUAACUUGCUCACAUGGUGGUUCAGGUUUCUGUUUCGUGUCUGCUUUCACAUCUUGUGUUUCACUGGCAGCUUUCACCUUGGCAGCAUUCCUGAAAAUAGCUCGCAUGACAACUGGGACUGACAUGCAACUGAAAGAGGAAAUAAAAGAUUAGUCACUAUUACAGACUUCAUCCACCAUUCAGCUUACUUCUUUUUUUAAACUGUGGCUGACAUCUGAAUGAUACCUGUGGUGAAAAACCAGCUACUACCUCCUUGCAUCUUUUUGCCUUGUACAACUUAAUAGUAACUACAGUGUAACUACAUGUGCUAUACCAGAAACAUAUGUUAACACAAUGAAAUCAAGUGCUGCAUCUUUGAGCUUAGGGGGGUAAAGCAGCUUUGAUUGAUAGGAAAAGCAAGAAGGGUUUGUAAAAAUAAAGUCAUAAGGGUGCUUUUAAUGAAAACCGAAACUAACAAUAUUGAAAUAUAGUAAUUCUUGCUGAGUUUUAUAUUUGUAACUUUCAUGUUUUGUAUAAAACCAGUACAGAGCAUAUUUUCUCUAAAACACUAUCUACACUAGAGUUUUUUCUCCACUCUAACAAUAGCAUUACCUGGUUCUGGGAAUAAUACCUAGUUUUAAAACAGGUUAAAAAUCCAACCUGCAUUGAUCUUGCUGUCAUCAGAUAGAUACUAGUUGUAUACUCGCUUAUGCUAAAUUAAUUAGCGCUCUCAGACCUUUCUCUAGAGUAUGUUCCUGUAUCACAGCAACUUGCCUCUUGGAAUUUGUUUCAGAAAACAAGCAAGAGACAGUGUUGUAAAUGUGUCAUAUACAUCUCACUUCUGAAAGGAAGCACUGAUUGGUGUGAGAUAUGGGAAAAGCUCUUUCCAUGCUAUUCUAAGUUAUACCAGUCAUGAGACUGUCAUCAGCUCAAGUCUUGAGAAAAGCAUGUUUACAAAAGAAAAAAGCAUCUUUAUAAAAGGUAGAAUUCUUCAUUCAAAAGUAUUUCCCUGCCCCAUGUGCUUUUUACUAGAAAGAAACACUUUCCAUCAUUCUUCAUGUUUAAAGUUUUUGAAAGAGAUACUUAAGACACCAAAGUAACUUACUCUCACUAUUAUAACUUUUUACUAGAGUGAAGUUUUCUGGUUGCUGAGUUUAUGGCAUUGUGAACACACACGAUCUUUCCAUUAAAUGGACACCUGAGGUUCAUUCGAAGCGUUGUGAAAUAAAGCUACUUACCGCUUCACAGCUCUUGUUAUAAAGUCAUCACUAGAAUUGAGAGUUGGGUCUUGAGGAUUUAAAUGAAGGUGACAUUGGAUUUCUCUGGAGGUUAUAACAUCAAUUAUCACUAAGAAAGAACAGAAUGUAAGCAAUUCAAAAUAAACAGUUUUAUAAACAUGAAUAACAAGCCUUUCAUUCUCAUGCUUCAGGAGAGGAAAGAUGGAAGUCAAUGGGAAGGGGCUUGCAGCAAUGCUCUUGCAUAACACUUGGGUUUUUUCCCAAUAUACUUAAAUCAAAAAUAGCACAAGUUGCAUUUUAUUAAUUAACUGCAGGCCAAGGCAGAAUAGAACUUGAAUAGUUGUGUUUACUUUCUGCUCUAUGGCAAAUACAGAACACUUCAGCAAGCAGUUUAUAUACAAGUGCUACUUCUGUUUUCAUGGUUUGCACACCAUUGAGAGCAGCCCUUGGAAUGCUUUUGCAACUGAGAAGCAAAAGCCUGGAUAGAACCAAAUCCCUUUGUCAGCCCAGUAAUGAGGACAGUAUCAAUUAUUCCACACGUACCAGAGGCUAAAU